GUCUCAUGCAUUGUGAAUGCACACAAAUAUAUUUGUUUAUUAUAAAUCUGUCUUCAUCUGGAAAAGCAAAACAUAAGCUGACAUUUAAAGAUCGGGAGAACAUGGUGUCACUGUGGAUUCUAAACACCCCCACACAAGGAAGUCAUUAGUAUCAAACCAUAAAUUAUCGCUGGCUGCUAAUCACUUGUUAUCAGGUAGGAGAGCACGACAGACAAACUCCAUUUUCUGUUGUCCUCAAUCACUGCUGGGUGCAUA